GCGUGCGACCGCCGCCGCAGCCAUGGGCCCCUCGGGUGCCUGACGAGGGACGGGUGCGGCGGUGAAAGGCGCGGCCCGGCUCAGGAUGAAAACCCACUGGCCUGGAGAAAAUUCAAACUUUUGACUGUGUCAAGUAUUGAUGAAGAGCUGACGGAAGUGUAAAUGGACAAUUAUAUUGGAGAGCAAUUCGAUGGGAUUCAUCAGACCUUUGACAGGGUUGGGGGAGGCCAUGGCCCUCUGCGUCCUUCAGAGCUGUAGUUUGCCAACACUUUUGCGAAAAGCGGGACGUUGUACACCUGGCAUGGCUUCUCAGGGUUGGAAAACAUUGACUCAAAACACGCCAAGAGACACAUUCCAGGAUGUUAGUUGCAGCCUUCUGGGAAACGGAGAAAACCGGAAACAAGUGGCUGGACUGUGGAUGUGAUGAUGGGAGCUGACGCAGCUGUUUUGGAUAACAUGGAGGAAAUGUGAGUUGAAGGUAGAAGAGCUACAAGGUGGAAGGAGCCUGAGC